AUUGAACGCUGGCGGCAUGCCUUACACAUGCAAGUCGAACGGCAGGCACGGGGGCAACCCUGGUGGCGAGUGGCGAACGGGUGAGUAACGCAUCGGAACGUGCCCAGUAGUGGGGGAUAACCAGUCGAAAGACUGGCUAAUACCGCAUACGCCCUACGGGGGAAAGCAGGGGGACCUUCGGGCCUUGCGCGAUUGGAUAUGCCCAGGUGGGAUUAGCUUGUUGGUGAGGUAAUGGCUCUCCAAGGCGACGAUCCCUAGCUGGUCUGAGAGGAUGAUCAGCCACACUGGAACUGAGACACGGUCCAGACUCCUACGGGAGGCAGCAGUGGGGAAUAUUGCACAAUGGGGGAAACCCUGAUGCAGCCAUGCCGCGUGUGUGAAGAAGGCCUUCGGGUUGUAAAGCACUUUCAGCGAGGAGGAAAGGUUGAUGCCUAAUACGCAUCAGCUGUGACGUUACUCGCAGAAGAAGCACCGGCUAACUCCGUG
rnacentral:rRNA from 1 species